rnacentral:rRNA from 1 species
CUACGGAGGGUGCGAGCGUUAAUCGGAAUUACUGGGCGUAAAGCGUGCGUAGGCGGUUUGUUAAGUCAGAAGUGAAAGCCCUGGGCUCAACCUGGGAACGGCUUUUGAGACUGGCAGACUAGAGUUGAGUAGAGGGGAGUGGAAUUUCCGGUGUAGCGGUGAAAUGCGUAGAAAUCGGAAGGAACACCAGUGGCGAAGGCGACUCCCUGGACUCAAACUGACGCUGAGGUACGAAAGCGUGGGUAGCAAACAGGAUUAGAUACCCGAGUAGUCC